rnacentral:tRNA from 1 species
GCCGAUAUGUGUCAGUUGGUAGAGCAGCGCAUUCGUAAUGCGUGAAGCGUCGCAGUUCGACUCUAUUAUCGGCACCA